GCGACACGGCUCUUUAAAAACAAAAGGAGA
rnacentral:misc_RNA from 1 species